rnacentral:rRNA from 1 species
GAUGAACGCUAGCGGCAGGCUUAAUACAUGCAAGUCGAGGGGCAGCACGGGUAGCAAUACCUGGUGGCGACCGGCAAACGGGUGCGGAACACGUACACAACCUUCCUUUAAGCGGGGAAUAGCCCAGAGAAAUUUGGAUUAAUACCCCAUAGAAUAAUGAGGUGGCAUCAUUUUAUUAUUAAAAAUUUAUCACUUAAAGAUGGGUGUGCGUAUGAUUAGGUAGUUGGCGGGGUAACGGCCCACCAAGCCUACGAUCAUUAGCUGAUGUGAGAGCAUGAUCAGCCACACGGGCACUGAGACACGGGCCCGACUCCUACGGGAGGCAGCAGUAAGGAAUAUUGGUCAAUGGACGCAAGUCUGAACCAGCCGUGCCGCGUGAAGGAUGAAGGUCCUCUGGAUUGUAAACUUCUUUUAUCGGAGACGAAAUGUAGAUUUUCUGAUUUACUUGACGGUACCCGAUGAAUAAGCACCGGCUAACUCCGUGCCAGCCGCCGCAGUAACAC